GACGAACGCUGGCGGCGUGCUUAACACAUGCAAGUCGAACGGAAAGGCCUCUUUCGGGGGGUACUCGAGUGGCGAACGGGUGAGUAACACGCGAGUAACCUGCCCUUGACUUUGGGAUAACUUCAGGAAACUGGGGCUAAUACCGGAUAGGAGCUCCUGCUGCAUGGUGGGGGUUGGAAAGUUUCGGCGGUUGGGGAUGGACUCGCGGCUUAUCAGCUUGUUGGUGGGGUAGUGGCUUACCAAGGCUUUGACGGGUAGCCGGCCUGAGAGGGUGACCGGCCACAUUGGGACUGAGAUACGGCCCAGACUCCUACGGGGGGCAGCAGUGGGGAAUAUUGCACAAUGGGUGGAAGCCUGAUGCAGCAACGCCGUGUGCGGGAUGACGGCCUUCGGGUUGUAAACCGCUUUCGCUCAUGACGAAGCUUUGUCUGACGGUAGUGGGUAGAAGCACCGGCUAACUACGUG
rnacentral:rRNA from 1 species